ensembl:misc_RNA Y_RNA Y RNA
GGCUUGUCCAAAGGUAGUAUGUUAUCUCAAUUGAUUUUUUCAUAUUCAGUUACAGAUCAAACUCCUUGUUCUACUCUUUCCCUCUUCUCACUACUACACUUGAUGAGUGGAAG